GUUUGAAUUUCUGCAGUCAACUCACAGGCUUCUUGCUACUUUAGGCUGAUUUAUUGUUGUUCCCAUUCCCUUUUUCUGAGUGGUUAUUCAUUCCCAGCGCUGGCCUCUGAUGGCCAUCUGCUUCUCCUUUGGUCACUCGAACAUUUGCCCCAGAGAUUUGGAAAAUGAGCUUCCUCUGGAAGCCUAAAAAUAAGCUUAGUGUGACUGAAGCAUGAUAGAGAACUCACCACCCUCCCCUGUCCUGUAGAUACUGACCAGGGGAAUGAGCCAGCAUGGCUUCCUAGGGAUUUGGAGCCUGGAUGUCUUCUGUCACAUCUGCAGAUUUUUUUUUUUCUCUCAAGUGUUGGGAACCGUAAAAACAUGGCAUGAGCUGGGUGCAACCAGUCCUCCUGCAGUUUUCCUUGGGAUCAGAUGUUCUUACUCAAUGGAAAUAGUUGGAGAUAGAAGCCAUACUUUGCAUGGUUUGUUUGUAAGGCUUCAAGAGUUAGCUGAGAAAGACAGAUGCUUAGGAGUUAAGCAUAUUAAUCACAGUGUGUUCAAGAAGAUCUCAUAAAUGCUUUGGACAGCAGUUAUAGGACAUUUCUAAGUACUAGAGUUUUAGUUUGGACCCAGGGGGCCUGUCUCAUGAGUAAUGAUGGUUUUGCUCCCCACCUCCCGAGGACUAAAAUUUGCCAGAAGCUAAAGCUCAAUCCCUAUGCUAUUUCUCAUCCAAAAUUAUUUCUAGCCACAUUGUCCAGUGCAGCUUUUCAGAGGUUCUGCAAUGAGAUAAAAUGUCAAUAAUGAUAUUCAAACAAUUAAAAUACCAAUAAAUUCAAAUCCCUUUGCAAGUCAUAAUCCAAAGAUGUUCAAAUCUAAAACAAUUAACAUCCAAACUUAAAUUUCCUUGACCUUUUGAGUUAAAAACCAAAGUACUUAAUGGCCUCCUUUGAUCAUUCCGAUUUCUUGUUUUGUUCCAUCUUAGAAAAAUGACGUACUUGAUGCUGGGUGCUGGGUGGAGAUGGUUCCUGUUCUCCAUCUGCAGACUGGGCUGUCUUCUACUGUAACAAAUAUGGCUGUUUCAGCUCCAAGAAAGUUGAAUUUGUUCAACGGCAUGUCUGUUGUGUGCUUUACUUUUUAGUGAAAUGUAAAUGAACAAAGAGUAAAUGGACCCAUAAUGGUUGGCCCCACACCCUUGACAUGUAAAAAAAAGGAACCAAUUCCUAGCCCCUGGACAGUUGUCCCAGGCAAAAUUUUGUUCCCAGGAUCUUAUUUAAUUUUGCCAAAGACCCCGUCAAGAACUGAAAAAAGUCUGAGGUUUUUACACUACAGUUUCAUGGAUGCUGGUAGAAGACAUGAGAUUCCUGGGUCAGAGACAAAUGACUUUAUUACUCAUGGCACAGCAAGUAACUUUUGGCUUUCUCUAAUCCCAAUUUAGGAUUCGGUCUCAGUUUAGAGCUUCCUGUUUGCAUAAUUCCCACUCCCCCCGCCUGUGGAAGUGAAGCAGAGGGCCUCAGAUAGAUGCAUACACAGUGGAUUUGCUUCACAGCUGGGAACCCUGAACGUAGGCAACCUGAAUCUUUUAUGAUGGGCUAGAAGCAAACUUGAUGGCCCUUUGCUCCAGAAAGAGACGUGAUUAUACUGGACAGUGAACAAACCAGGCCCUUCCUUCUGAGACACUGUCUCUAACCUUCAAGGCUGUUCAUCCAACAUCCUUGAAAAGAUAGAUAAAUCCAGAGUAGAAACAACCUAUGCCCCUGUUCACAAGCCACACAGAAAUGGGAGAGACCCAUGGAGAAUGGUCUCCCAAGGCUAUAGCACAGACUCAGUAAUAGCAAGUAAAAGAAGAUUGAUGGUAAAAAAUAUUCUUGGCUUUUCUUAAAAAGAUGCCAGUCAGUCUACAGCAGUUGUUUGGAGUCUAUGGCCAUGAAUUUAAACCCAGCGGCAAGAAUCUACCUCCCAGUCUGGAUGGAGGAAAAUCAAUCUGGUCCUGCUUAAAGUGCUUUUCAUUUCUAUUCAAAAGCUUCUUGAUUUGCAUUUAUACUUUGAGAUGAAAGCGAAGGCCUCCCUGAUGUACUGCGUUGGGUGUGGACUGUACCUCUGCCAGAGGUUCCAGUUCUCAAGAGCAGACAUUUUCAGUCCUGGGCCUCCUUUUCCAUCUCCACUGCCUCUUGGCAUAGACGUGCUUAGCCUGGAGGAAGCUGCAUCUCUCCUCCCCAGUUUACUCAUCUGGAAAAACACCCUCUGCAGAUUCCUGAACCAAACCUGCUCUCAGGAGUUCUGAAGCUUCUGUCCUAAUGAGCUGGUAAAGGCUAAUACCUCUGCCACCUGCUCCAUGAGAUUUGUUUUUCCUCAGGUUUUGAAUAUUCCAGGGGUCGAGUAGCACUGCUUUCUGCUAUGUUUGGGGGUGGGGGGCAGUAAUUGGAUCCGCCUCUAGUGGUUCACAUCUGCCUCCUUUGGGAAAGACUCACUUACGUUUCUGUUUAACCUUUCUUCUUUCUGUGAAAGACUCCUUUCUUCUUUCAUGGCCCUGCUUGCUGAAUCAGUGUGCCAUUUUUACUUCUCCUUUGCUUUCUUACUCAGAUUUAUUUUUUCUAAAAUACUCUUCUAGAUUGUGUUGUAUAU
ensembl:lncRNA